rnacentral:rRNA from 1 species
AACGUAGGAGACAAACGUUAUCCGGAGUUACUGGGCGUAAAGGGCGUGUAGGCGGUUAGUUAAGUCUGGCGUGAAAGCUCUCGGCUAAACCGGGAGAGGUCGUCGGAUACUGGCAAACUAGAGGACGGUAGAGGCGUGUGGAAUUCCGGGUGUAGUGGUGAAAUGCGUAGAGAUCCGGAGGAACCCCAGAGGCGAAGGCGGCCCCCUGGCUCGUACCUGACGCUCAGCCACGAAAGCAUGGGGAGCGAACGGG